UAGACGUUGCCUGCCUCAGAGUCACUGUGU
rnacentral:piRNA from 1 species